rnacentral:snoRNA from 10 species
CUGCAGCCAAUUAAGCCAACUGAGUUCCUUUCCUUGUGGGGGCCCAGUGUGCAAUGGCUGCACACAGCAGCUUCCUUGGUAGUGUACACAGCCUGUUGGUUGUAUGGGUUGCUCUGAGGGACCUUGGAGACAGGC